UUUCCCUUUGUUAAGAAAAAUUAUAUGUUUUUCGGACUUGGGAAAAAUUAUUCAUACUUCAAAAUUAUUUCGAAAAUAAUUAAAUAACUCCUAAAAAAAAUUUAUUUAAUCCCAUGAUUAACUUAUCGUAAUAAUUUCCCACCGAGAAUUUAUAUUUAUUUCUGCCUUGGAAAUAUCCUAAAAUUAAUUAAUACAAUUCUCCACAAUUAAUUCAAUUAUCAACCCAAAGAUUUAUUUACAAAACCCAAAAUUCUCCACCUUAUCUCUCAAAUGAUACCAUUUUCGAAACUGGGCCGAGUCUCUUUCCCAUUUUUUUUUUGCCCACAAUAAAUAAAUUCAAAAAUUGGGUCUCCCUCUAAUUAAAGCAGCCAUUAUGAUUUUAAAAGAAAUGGACUCAUAUUAAUUCAUCACCAUUAAAUUUAUUCAUCGGCCCAAGGAUUUAAAUUAAUCUAUCCCAAAGAACUUAAUUAGAAUUAUAGCAUAAAGCAAACUUAUAUUGCAGCCCAAACUCCUUUAGGAAAAUAAUCCCAUUUAUUCUCUUCUCUAGGCCCAAACAAUAAAUCUCUUGGCCCAAAUCUUAAUAAAUGACCUCAUGGUCCAAUUCAACAAUUAAAUGAGGUAGUCCAUUUAUUCCCUUACUUCAAUUCUAGGCCCGAUUCCCUUUAAUUAAUUAAAGUGGCCCAAUUAAAAUGAAUAAUGACCCAAUAUACUCCUUCCCCCAUACGUGACUUUCCCCCAUUUCACUUCCUUCUCCAAUUCUAAUCCCUAAUUGAAGAAGUGAGCAGUGCCUCCUCUCCCUCACUCUCACGUCUCAUCUCUCUCGUCUCUCUCUCUCUUUCUCUUCUCUCUUCACCGUCGCGCCGCCAUCCUCACCGUCUUUCUCCCGUUCCGCCGCCGCCACCGCUGUGCAUGCACAGCCGGCGACUUCGUCGCCCUCGUCCCGGAAGUCCGCUGGUCUGCACGCUCCGUCCCUUUCUCUCCCAGUCGGCCUCUCUCUCUCGGUCGGUCUCUCUCUCCCUCGAUUCGCCGCACCGCCACCGCCGCUGCGGAUCUGCCGCCGUCGCCGAGAACCGCUGCUGUAGCCGCUGCUGUCCCAGCCUGCCGGUCAGCCUCCGAUCGACUCCGAGUCCACCCCGAACCGACACCGCGCAGCCCCGAACAACUCCGAACAGCCCCGAAACAUCCCGGAACUAACCCGUUCAGCCCCAAAAGAUAAGUCCCCUUACCAAGUUCUUUCGCAUUUCGAUUUAAUCAUGGGAGUGUUCAAUUGUGUUAAUUGCUUGAGUUAUGCGAUUAGUUCGGAUGAUGGUAUGUUUAUGCAUAAACUGAUGAUUGAAACUCGAAAAUGGGAAAGGAUUUUUACCUUGAUAAUCCGAUAUCGAUUGUGAAAUUGUAGGACCGAAAGGAGUAGCCCACUGGAUUUUGCAGAUUCAGUUUCUGUCAAAAUUUUACAUAACGUUUGAUUUCCAAAAGAAGUGCGAAAUUGUGCUAUUAACGGAGGAAGAACGUAGAAGAGAGAAGAAUAAACUAAGGAGAAGAUUUAAUAUAGAGGGAUGGCGGUUUGGAGCAAAAUAUCUUAGAUUUUUUUUAUUAUAUUAAUUUACUAACUUGGUGACCAAGUUAGAUUAUUUAAAAAAAAAAUUUCUUUUUU